rnacentral:rRNA from 1 species
AAUCAACGCUGGCGGCGUGCCUCAGACAUGCAAGUCGAACGCUGCUGUUCGCCUUCGGGUGGACAGCGGAGUGGCGCACGGGUGAGUAACACGUAGGUAAUCUACCUUUGGGUGGGGAAUAACAGCCGGAAACGGCUGCUAAUACCGCAUAAUGCAGCGGCAUCACAUGAUGACAGUUGUUAAAGCGGGGGAUCGUAAGACCUCGCGCCUGAAGAGGAGCCUGCGGCAGAUUAGGUAGUUGGUGAGGUAAUGGCUCACCAAGCCUGCGAUCUGUAACCGGCCUGAGAGGGCGGUCGGUCACACUGACACUGACAUACGGGUCAGACUCCUACGGGAGGCAGCA